UUUCCUAAACCAUGAAAUUAAAUAGUUAACAAUCGGUACUUUUUAUUUUUCAGUAUCUUUACAUUUCAAACACAGCAUUACACCAGCUUAACAGCUCUUCUACUUUCCACCUUUUUCUAACGUAACAUCUUCAUAAUAAUUUCAUAAGUAAUCAGAUUACUUCUUUAAUCAAGAGCUGACUUCAUCGAAAUGAAUAUUUAUAAUGAAAUUAAAGAAGAUGAAAACGGUCCUCGUAUUUGUUCAUUUAAAUCAAGUGAUUUACUUAGAUUAUUUUGUAUUUUUGAAAAUGGAUUCAUGUUAUUUACUUGUCUUGUUUUUCUUUUAUUUGUGUAUUCAAAUUCACGACACAUGACUAGUUAUUGUUUCAAUUUUAGAUGCUUUAACAACGUUUUCGCAUCUGUUGAGUAUUAAAUAGCUCGUAAUGCCAUGCUUUUACCUUUUGAUCAUAAAUAAGAAAUCGUUGGAAGUCGUGCAGCAGAACAACUGAGGCGUCUAGCUUAUCUGUGCUUCUGUUUGAUUGGAAAGUAAAAAAGUUUAAACACGUAAACAUUUUUGUUAAAAGUCAAAUGAUGAGAAAACGUGACUCACCCCAGAAUAAAAGAACAAGCUUCAUUUUUGAAUUCAUCAAGGAUCUGCGUUUUGAAAUACUUCAGUUAAAAAGCUAAAUAAUAAAAUGCACUGAGAAGAAUUUAAGGUAUUCAGACUGACCUCAUUCUGUUCAAACAUUAUAAGGUUAUAAAAUUUAUGAAACUGCUCAAAGUCCAGACGGUCUUUCUUUACUCCCAUUUCCUAUGAAAAUAAACAUGAUCAGCAUGAAAAAAGUGCCAACAAUUAAUACAAAUUCAAUAAAAUGUUUUAAAGAGCAAGUCACCCUCAAAUCAACUUUUUAUCGCAUGAUAAGACUCUGGUACUCAACUCCCACUUCCUGUUGGAAAAACGCAACAAAUGCUGUUGCCAGGCAGACCGAGAGGGCGGAGCCGCUAACAAAUACACACAAACAGGCUCACAACAGCAUUGUGACAUCAUUAUGUACCAGCUAACGUCAUAGUGCGCCUCGUAGCCAAUAGUGGUGGCAGAUUUAAGGCCGGCUUUGUCGACAGGCGACACAGGCGCCAUCUAAUGGAUAGGGCGCAAAAUAAAAAAAAGUAUUAAAUUUAUGUUUGUAAUAUGAAAUGCACUCUCUACAUACUCAAAAUGCCCCUCUGAAAUGACAUGAAAUUAAAACAUCAAUAUUUAAAUUCUAAUGAUCUGGCUGCAUGACGAGCUCCCGCUUGGGCCACCGCUCCGAUGCAUUUGACCGUUAAGGGUGCCGUAGAUCACGUGCUUGGGUAGCACUGUAGGACAUCCUGUUGUCGCAUUUAAACUUUUGAUAUCUUUUACGAUGAAAAGAACACCUAAGCCAUCGGGAUCAGCAUUCCCAAAGCGAAGGAGGGAGGAAGAAAAAAAAACGGGCCCAAAGCAGAGGUAUGUAGACUUUAUAAAAUUGGCAAAGGAACUUUAUGCGCUAGCAUUGUAGCUAACUGCCUCUCCUGCCACGCACGGUCCACGGACGGACCCUCGCUAGUUGUUUGCAUACACAAUACAGUAUCUCGUAACUUUAACCAAUUAAUUUUACUUUUGAAUGGUCGUGUCCAGAUGCAGUGAGACAAUAUCUGCAGCCGGUCGACAGGCACCUGUGGACACCACGGGGGCGGGACUGUCUUCUACACCUGUUGAGCCUCACUGUGAUGAUGAAGAAUAAGAACGCUAGGUGUGGGUGUAGCAACAUUUCAACUUUGUCCGACACAUCGGGCGGCCGGUGUCGGUACAGGAUCUGCUCGGGUGAGGGAUUGGCUCGGGGUCCUUCGACUGCCGAUGACGUCACAUUACUGCAACUCUACUCGGCUUUCACACACACGUUUUGGAACGACAUCAGCAGUUUUGCUGAUAAAUUCUUGUUGGUUAACACCUAAAUGUUUUCUUUAUAAUUGUAAUUUGUUAAUAAAACACCAUAUUAUCUUUGAUUUGUAAAGAAUGUGAAACUGCAUAAAACCAACAACGGACUGACAAACAACAGAACAGUUCUUAUAUGUGAAGCCACGUCUGUUUAUAUGAAUGUAGAGUUCAUCUGUAUAUUUCCUUAGUUGUUAUCUAAAUACAUUCUUUGACUCUAAAUGUUGCUUGGUGUCUUUCAAUAAAGUUCUUAUAUAUUC